CUCGCAAAAUACCAGUCGCUAGAGCAACACCUUUUUGUCCUGAAGUUGCACCAUACUCCCAACAGAUAUCCGCUGCCGUAACCGGACCGACGGGCGUGCGGUGUUGUUACUUUAACUGGUCGAUCGCGUCUCGAGAGUGUCAUCACCUAAAGGGUAUAUACAGUAGACUCUCAAGUCUACUGUGUAUAUAUAUAUAUUACACCAUGGGGUCAAUUUAAACGGCGUGAAUAGGAAAAUUAGACACUUAUCAGCCAUGCCGCUUUGACAAGAUCACUCCAGUUGUCAUUAAGUACUACUUUAUAAUCAACAAGGCCAAAGCAAAAUUUUGUUGUAAUUUGCAUUUAAGUCUAAAAGAUUGUAAAGGCAUUUUAUUGCGUUCC